UACGUAGGGGGCUAGCGUUGCUCGGAAUCACUGGGCGUAAAGCGCACGUAGGCGGCUUUCUAAGUCAGGGGUGAAAUCCUGGAGCUCAACUCCAGAACUGCCUUUGAUACUGGAGAGCUAGAGUCCGGAAGAGGUGAGUGGAACUGCGAGUGUAGAGGUGAAAUUCGUAGAUAUUCGGCGGAACACCAGUGGCGAAGGCGACUCACUGGCCCGAUACUGACGCUGAGGCGCGAAAGCGUGGGGAGCAAACAGG
rnacentral:rRNA from 1 species